UCAGCUCGUGUCGUGAGAUGUUGGUUAAGUCCCGCAACGAGCGCAACCCUCGCCUUUAGUUGCCAGCAUUCAGUUGGGCACUCUAGAGGGACUGCCGGCGACAAGUCGGAGGAAGGUGGGGAUGACGUCAAAUCAUCAUGCCCCUUAUGACCUGGGCUACACACGUGCUACAAUGGGCGGUACAAAGGGCUGCGAACCCGCGAGGGGGAGCGAAUCCCAAAAAAGCCGCUCUCAGUUCGGAUUGCAGGCUGCAACUCGCCUGCAUGAAGCCGGAAUCGCUAGUAAUCGCGGAUCAGCAUAUCGCGGUGAAUACGUUCCCGGGUCUU
rnacentral:rRNA from 1 species